UUUAGGAUAAGUUCAAGAAGGAGGCUCGAGUUCGGUUUGGAAAAUGUUUCUGUUGCCGAACCUGUCAGGAGAACGAACCUACCCUGAUGAGAACUGGGGAAACAUUCUACCGAGGACGUAGAAACAAGAUUGAAAACAAUAUGACAACAUUUUCAGACUUUACCCCUAUCCAGGAUGUGAAACGAUCAACAGGGUUUGUUCCAACAGUCAGUUACAGGAACAACAUCAUUCACGAGGAGGACAACAGCGAGAAUUACGUCGUCUUCAAUGGACUCCAGCACAAUGAGAGGUUAUAGGAAAGGCUUAUAGUUCUCUCGCUUUGCGGAGAACCUUCUAUCCGAGAAUUGAUGAUAGAGAACUAAUGAUAGAUAACUGAUGAUAGAGAACUGAUGAUUGACAACUGAUGAUAGAGAACUGAUAGUAGAGAACUGAUAGUAUAGAACUGAUGAUUGACAACUGAUGAUAGAGAACUGAUGACAGAGAACUGAUGACAGAGAACUGAUGACAGAGAACUGAUGAUAGAGAACUGAUGAUGGAGAACUGAUGAUAGAGAACUGAUAAAGAAGUAAUUAAAAAAAGCUGUUAUAAAAGGAGAUAAAUGAAAAUACAGAACUGAAAACUGAAAUGAAAGAAAUCGGAUUAUUGACUGAAAUAAUUGUUGUUGUUCUUGUUAUUGUUAAAAUUUCAAAAGCUUUUUGAAUUUGUAGGACAAUGGAAUUCAUGGGUGUUUGGAAGUAUAUGUUUUAAAUAGUUUCCUCACUUCUUCGUAAAAACAGUAAUUUAUUUGCACCACCCUGUCUUUAGUGUUUAUUAUGUUCAUGUAGACAUUCAACAUAAUGAUUUUCAUAUCAGACUGUUGUUAUUCAAUAAUGGAUAUUGAGCAUGAAUCAAUCUGGUGAACUUUAAGUGACACAGGAUGAAGAGAAUCCAAUUAUAAAUAUACCAGAACUAUGGUGAUUAUAUCAAUUUGAUCUAAAAUUGAUAAACGCUAGUUAUUUGAAAUCAAUUUUUAUCACUGGAUAGAAACCAUUGUGUCUUGAUUCAUAAAAUUCAUUAACUUUUUAUGUAAAAAAAUAUUUAAAUGCUCAGGGGAGAAAUCAUUAAACAUCUAAAAUUUCUGCAUAAUUCACACUGAUAUUCUCAAAAAAUGAUGAAACCCAGUUUAUCAAUACUGCUUUGAGCAAGGGUUACAGAUAUUGUUAAAAUGAUAUGCUUGCGGCACCUUACAAAACUUACCAAUAAAAACGCUUCCAAGCGUUUUACGAUGAAAUAUCUACAUUGUGAAUUGUGAUCGUGAUUGUGAAGAUAAUUUAAACAAAAACCUUUUGUUGAAGGAAGUGGAUUAAAGUGAUAAAUCUAAUUCUGGAAAAACAUUUUAUCCAACAAAAAAAAGGAAGAUACCUGAAAAACAAAAAGAGAAAUCUAACAGCCAUCUUAAACAAUACAGUUGGUAAUAUUUGUAAAACAUGCAUAAAUGAUUUCCGCUAAAAAUAUUGAAUGUAUUUGAAGGUUUAAAUCCUAAGAAAAUAUUGAAAGUUCAAGUGUGCAAAUAUUUAAACAAAUUUCUUUUUCAAUGUUUAUCAUACAGAGAGUUACCAACACAUAUUACAUUAAGUGAAGACCUUAAACUCGUCUUUGUUCUACGCACCAUGCAGUUUUAAACUUUGAUUCACGGGUAAAAUAAUAAAAAGAACAAACAAAAUAGACGGGUUAAAAAAGAAUUUCCAAUUAUCAACCAAAUUUCGAAAUAAAAACAAUAGAACUAGCCGAUUCAUAAUGUAAUUAUGAAUGAUUUAUACCCUCUCUCAUUUCAGAGAUACAUAAGAUUUCAAAGUCCGGGACUCCUUGAAUAAUUAUAAUAUAAAAAUAUUAUAUAAAUAAAUUAUAAAAAUA